CCCGAGGCGGACAGCUGCCCGACAGACGUCCACGCCCGAGCCUGCACUGGCGAAGUUGCUGUCGAGGCAAGGGAACACAGGAAUCGCCGCUGGAAAGGUGGAAGAGUCAUCCCUCCGCCAGUUCUCCACCGGUCAUUAACUGUGGAAAAGUUGCCAGUUAGUGAAUAAAGUAAUGGUGCGGAAGGAACAACCAUGGUCAUUCGACGCCACAAGCCAAGCUUCCUGCCAUCACCUGCGAGCUGACAGACUAUCCCGCGGAAAGUCAGCGUUCAAUGUCUUCUGUUUUGCUAAGUUACAGGUUACUAAGGAAUGGUGGUUCACUGCUGGCGUUGAAGCCUUGGAUCAUUUUGAAUGCUGAAAGAAAUUGGCGAAACUGUGUUAGUGUGACAGGACCUGUUCAUAAUCCUGUAACUUCUCUCAGCGUUGCCAAGUACUCUCAACCAGGCUAGAGAGAUUCUUCAAGAUUCCACAAAAUCUAGAUACAAAGUUUCCAUCUAAGGAGUGCUUCUAAACUUGGUAUCUGUUGUGUAUCCACACGAUGUAACACCUAUACUGGAUUUUUUGCAUUGCCAAACAAGUCAGAGGGAAUAUGCAAAAUGUUGAUAUUACUGAUAUUGGAUAAAGCAUGAGUAAGGGAUGAUUAUGAAUGUAAAAAAUAUAUAAUUAUUCAAUAUAUGCUGCUUAUUUUUUUUAUAAUCAAUAUAACUAUGAAAUCUAACACCUGCAAGGUACAUA
rnacentral:misc_RNA from 1 species